rnacentral:rRNA from 1 species
UACAGAGACUGCAAGCGUUAUUCGGAUUCACUGGGCGUAAAGGGUGCGCAGGCGGCCAAGUGUGUGAGGCGUGAAAGCCCGGGGCUUAACCCCGGAAUUGCACCUCAAACUACAUGGCUAGAGCAUUGGAGAGGGUAGCGGAAUUCACGGUGUAGCAGUGAAAUGCGUAGAUAUCGGGAAGAACACCAGUGGCGAAAGCGGCUCUCUGGGGACCAUCUGACGCUGAGGCGCGAAAGCGUGGGGAGCGAACCGG